GAUGAAGAACGUAGCGAAAUGCAAUACUUGGUGUGAAUUGCAGAAUCCCGUGAACCAUCGAGUUUUUGAACGCAAGUUGCGCCCGAAGCCGUUAGGCCGAGGGCACGCCUGCCUGGGUGUCACACAUCGUUGCCCCAAUGCCAAUCGCCUCACUUUGUAGGUAUUUGCUUGGGGUGAAUGUUGGCCUCCCGUGAGCUUUGUCUCACGGUUGGUUGAAAAUCGAGUGCAUGGUGUCGGGUGUACCAUGAUGGAUGGUGGUUGAGUGAUGAUGCUCGGUGACCCACAUGCGUCCCUUGGAUGCUCCCUAAGGAGACCUCAGGUCAGGCGGGGCUACCCACUGAGUUUAAGCAUAUCAAUAAGCGGAGGA
rnacentral:misc_RNA from 1 species